GAACGCACAUUGCGCCCCUUGGUAUUCCGGGGGGCAUGCCUGUUCGAGCGUCAUUAUAACCCUCAAGCCUAGCUUGGUGUUGGAGCAUGCUACCUAGCAGCUCUUAAAAUCAGUGGCAGUGCCCUUCGGCUCUAAGCGUAGUAACUUCUCUCGCUAUGGAAACCGGAUGGUACGCGCCAAAACCCCCAACUUUCUAUGGUUGACCUCGGAUCAGGUAGGGAUACCCGCUGAACUUA
rnacentral:misc_RNA from 1 species